CUGACCUUCAUGCACACACACAGGUGGUGACUCUUUUAGGCAGCAUGGUUUCUGAUCCUUCCUUAGGAUGCAGCAGUCUUUUAAAAAAAAUAUUGUAUUAUAAUAAUAAUAAUAUGAAUUUCUCUCUCUUGUUUUGUUUUUCCGUUUCUUUUAGGGAUUAGGGUAGGAGGGGAGAGGGAAAAAAUAAUGUCAUUCAUCUGUCAGGUCCUGAACAAAGAGAACUUCUGUGUGGCUGAGUCCGGCCUCCUGAAGUGUGGGGGGGUUGGGCCACUCCUCUGAAGGGAUGCAAGGCAGCACCCGCCGGGGAAAGUUGGCUUCAAUCUGAAACUUUUCAGGGCUUUCUUUCAAGGAGAAUAAGAAGUCGUGGAUUACCUGCAGAUCAUAUAGGAAAAGGGAGGUGAGAGAAAGACAAAGGAGCACUCAACACAACUAUGAAAUCAGAUCAGUGGAGACAGAGCUUUCUGCGUAGAUAGAAGUGAGGAGUUCUGGUGGGAUUCUGAGGGCAAUGUGAGCUAACUGGCAUGGAAGAGCCUCCCAUCGACUUAAUGUGCAAGUCUUUUGUGGAACUUCUUGAGGAACUUCCCCUGUACCUUUCAAGGCGUUCUGACACCAG